rnacentral:rRNA from 1 species
GACGAACGCUGGCGGCGUGCUUAACACAUGCCAGUCGAACGAUGAAGCCUAGCUUGCUAGGUGGAUUAGUGGCGAACGGGUGAGUAAUACGUGAGUAACCUACCUUUAACUCUGGGAUAAGCCUGGGAAACUGGGUCUAAUACCGGAUACGACCAAUCUCCGCAUGGGGUGUUGGUGGAAAGCGUUAUGUAGUGGUUAUAGAUGGGCUCACGGCCUAUCAGCUUGUUGGUGAGGUAACGGCUCACCAAGGCGACGACGGGUAGCCGGCCUGAGAGGGUGACCGGCCACACUGGGACUGAGACACGGCCCAGACUCCUACGGGAGGCAGCAGUGGGGAAUAUUGCACAAUGGGCGCAAGCCUGAUGCAGCGACGCCGCGUGAGGGAUGACGGCCUUCGGGUUGUAAACCUCUGUUAGCAGGGAAGAAGAGAGAUUGACGGUACCUGCAGAGAAAGCGCCGGCUAACUACGUG